GCGGGAUUAGUAUAGUGGUAAUACGUCACCUUCCCAAGGUGAAGUCGCCAGUCCGAUUCUGGUAUCCCGCU
rnacentral:tRNA from 1 species